rnacentral:lncRNA from 1 species
GGACUUUCCCAGCAACUGGAGAGGGGUAAACAGUCUAGAAGAACUCCCCCCAUCCCACUCCCCCGCCCCAAGUUCGGACCACCACCACGCCUCAGCACGGGCACCUACCUACUGUGAGGGGCUUGGAAGUUAGGUAUAAGGGUGGGUCCAAACCUGGUAGAGCUUUUCCAAGAGUCAGAUGGGGGAGGAAAUAGAUUUGCCUAGAGUUGAGAAACCUUUCCAGAUUUAGGCCCGCUUGCUUUCGCUCUCUCUAUUUCUAUUUCUUUUCUUUCUUUCUUUCUUUUUUUUAAAGGAGAAACUUUAGAUUCUAAAGCUUAGAACGUGCCUUCCAAGUUUGCUAUGUGUGUGCUUGCUAAAAGAAGGAAGUGAGACAAUAUAAAGUGAACUUUUGCAGCACUCGCUUCCUUUCUAAAGUUUGGAGCUGCAGGCCUGAUAGGCUUUGGUCGCCCACACCUGGCGGUGUGCAGAGCCUAGGGCGGGACCUCAAUCUUCCCCAUCCUCUGCAAUUUAUCCAAAGGCCCUAGCUACUCACCUCCCGGUCCUUGUACCCUUCAUUACUCAGCAUUUGGAAAACAAACCUCUUAUGAAUGCAAAUUCGUUUCUUUGACACUUUGGUUGCAGCAAUAGCUACAAAUCACGUUUCUUUGCAUUUAGUAAACAAGUCAGGGCCUCCUGGUCCUUCCCACUCUUGCAAGGGUCAGAGUUUGUCAAGGCAUGGUCAUGGUUGCCUUACCCCGUCCUCCGACUAAGGCUCAGCGGCACAGCUAUUUUGUUAAGACACCGGCUUUCCGCCCCCACUUUGUUCUUUCACGGUCUUCCUAGCCGCGGAGAGGAGGGAAGGGAAUCAAAACGAAACCACUUCAGGCGCAUCAGUCACAGCCACUUCCCUAAGGGCAGCGGUGGCAGACCUAAGUGUAGGGUCGCAAACAUUGGCCGAGAUGGGGGUGGGGGUGGGGGGAGCUGUUCCCGAAGGAAGCCCAGGAGUUGCCAGGAUCUGUCCUAGGUUGCGAAGGGUCCCCCUCCCCCCAAACUCCCAUCUCCGGAAAAGUGCAUAUGGAUAGUACAUCAAUCUUGCAUGGAGAGUUUGGUCUGGGUCUCGAAGUUGAAGACUGAGACCCUGCAGAAGUAAAGGAGUGUGACACGAACGAGUUUGGCUUCUAGUGGCAGAUGUCUUAGCAGGGUCUCAGGCAGGAACGCAGGCGAGGGUGCGCAAAGGCCUCUUGGGACUCGAGGCCCACGGAAUUCUUGCCCGGCUGAAACUGGAUAAGCAUCCCGCCCACACGCAAAUAACCAAAGUUCUAUACAAUUUAAAAGACUUCACGAAACUAGUGGUAUCCCUCUUCCCUCAUAGGAGUCAUUGCAGUGACAAAGGCGGCCUCCGGCAGGUUUCAAAGAGACGGGUGGGCCGACUUUAGCAGUUCAGGGAAGGCAUCUUACGAGGUGAAGGUAACCAAACACAACUGGGGCGCUCAGGAAUGGCAGCUGGUGUCAAUCUAGUCAGCUAAAACGUGUCCUCGCUUCCCCUUCUUCCCCCACAGAGAAACAACACUGACUUGAAACAGCUUCCACCCUCACCCCACCCCCAUACUUUCUUUACCACACACUUUAUUCUGUUUAGUAACACCUUUGUUGCAGCAGUAUCUGUAGGUCUGGGCAAGUGUGAGAAAGACCUGCAGGGUCUCGGGGAGUUGAAAGUGGAAACCGUUUGCUGGAGUGCUCGCCCUGCUCACCCACACCUGACUAAGGACUUAGCAGACAGCCAUUACCCUUCCAGCUGCUCAGAGGCGCUUUGCUUUUGCACUGAGGUCAUUCGCUCUGUAAAACCCAAGACUAGGAGUCCUGUAUGUAUUUGCAUUGUUCAGACUCAGCUUCGCCAAUAAUUUAACCACAGGACUCAAAAAAAAAAAAAAUGGCCUUGCCUUUCAUAAGUUCUCUUGGUCGAAACCUGGAAAGGCAGAUAUUUCUACCCCCGGAACCCUCUUGGUAAACAUCAGAAAGCCCUAACUGAAAGGGAAGGCCCACUUUAUCCUCUUUCCCCUCUAUAUGAGUGAGGCAAGCUACCUAGGAAAUAGACCCUGACGCUCUCUUUUUAGCUUUCCCCCAUUUCUUAAAAAAAUAAAAUUACCCAGCACAAAAGCUAGUUUUGA